rnacentral:rRNA from 1 species
CGGACGGGUGAGUAACGCGUGGGUAACCUGCCUUGUACUGGGGGACAACAGUUAGAAAUGACUGCUAAUACCGCAUAAGCGCACAGUAUCGCAUGAUACAGUGUGAAAAACUCCGGUGGUAUGAGAUGGACCCGCGUCUGAUUAGCCAGUUGGUGGGGUAACGGCCUACCAAAGCGACGAUCAGUAGCCGACCUGAGAGGGUGACCGGCCACAUUGGGACUGAGACACGGCCCAAACUCCUACGGGAGGCAGCAUG